AAUUCAGUCCAGAUUUGAAGAGUGUAGGUACAGUGGUUUUCAAUCUGGACCUGGUCUAAUAAGGACUGGUUAUAAAGCAAAAACGGUGAAAUAUCCCCUUAAACGUUUUCACAAAUAAAAUACUAAUUUUACCAAUACAAUAGCUCUUGUCAGGCAUAGUUAAUGUCUUACCCAAAUGUCUAAAAUGUUUACACAUCAAGAAGUGUCGAAAAAAAACAGAUAAUCAGUGGAUAAACUGUCGCACCGCACAUUCAUUUCAUUUCCCCUUAACUUUUCCCUUAAGUGCCGAAUCGGAAGCUAACUUCAGCGUCGUCUCAUUCAUUCAGUCAGUAAGCGAGCGAGUUUUGGCGUAGAACAGCUUUUAUUAACGAUCCAGUGGAUAAAGGAGCAGCAUUACUGCACAGAUCAUUAAAUAUUCGUCUGUAGAUUGUUAUCAGACCGAGCAUAAAUGUUCUCGCAUUUCCGGACAGUUAUCGGUUUGAGCGGUACCGUUUCGUAUUCGUUUUAAGUCCAUAAUCUACAUAAACAACCUAAUCCGUCCUUACAUUUACAUUACCAACCAGUCAUGCUCUCACAUCCAGCAGAUAUUGUGUGUUGCGCUGCGGUUCUUUGCAAAUGAAAGUUUUUAUAUAAUGUCAGAGAUGCAGAGUAAGACAACUGUAUGGAGGACAGUCAGAAAAGUUUUCCUGGCUCUGAAACGACUUUUACCAUCAUUGUGGACAUAAACCUGUCAGAACAUCAAGGAGGAUCCACAGGAUUACAGGUGAAUGAUGUAGAGAUCUGUUACAUUCAUUUUAAAUCAUAUUCUGUUAAUGACAUUGUGCUGCAGCCUCAGACUGGGAUCAGUCAUUUUAAUUUCUUUUAGGAUUUCCCAGUGUGAUUGGCUGCAUAGAUGCACACACAUCCCCAUCACAGCUCCCUCACAUCAUGAACAGGAAGUCCAUUCACAGCAUAAAUGUGCAGAUCAUAUGUGAUGCUGCAUACAUCAUUUCUAAUGUGGAGGCCACGUGGUCUGGGUCUGUUCAUGACUCCAGGAUUUAUGGAGAGUCUAACCUGAGCAACAGACUGCAGCGUGGUCAGCAGCAUAAAGAUUUUCACAAUAGAAUUCUCUUGUCUCCCUCCUUUAAUAUGCUCUGAUGUAUCCACUAUACAUUACAGGAGAGUUUGAUGGCCUUCUGCUGGGUGACAGGGGUUACCAUGCCAACCCAGGCCGAUGACCUCAUACCCUGACCCUGAACCAGGCCCCCAACAGAACUUCAACCGGACUCACUGCAGGACCAGAGCCCGGGUGGAGAUGACCAUAGGCCUGCUGAAAGCCCGUUUCCAGAGCCUACGUCUCCUCAGGGUGACCCCUGAGAGGGCCUGUGAUAUUACUGUGGCAUGUGUUGUUCUUCAUAAUAUUACCACUAUUAGAGGAGAGCAACACCCUGCCCUACAAACUGAAGACCCAGAUGAUGAGCCCAUCCACCUGCAGCUAUCCAGGACAGCAGAGCAGUCAGAGACACCGUAUGCAAGAAUCACUUUAGAGUUUAAGUCUCCAUCAUCACCACCACAGCAAAUAAAGACAUGAUACACAUUUCA